GUUACGAAUUCGUAGCUCCGUUCCGAAAAUUCGAAAAUUGAAUUCGCUUCGCUCCGACACCAGUUGCUCUUCGUAGAAAAUUUCCGACAAAUACAUACAAAUUACAGCUACGUCGGAUUCAGGCAUACCAACGUUACGAAUUUCGAAGAUGGUCUCCGAAUUUCGAAAUUGCGAUACGGCAACGCGGAUUACAGCAUACCAAUUUUAAGAUUCGUAGCAAAAUCGAAUCUACGACGGAUUACA